AUCCGUGAUAAUCAGAAACUGCAAUACAUACGUUUUCUUUAAGUUGUUCAGCUGGAUAGAAGAACGCUAUAGAUAAAAUUAGGCAACUUCUUUAACAAGAUGAUUAGCUCACUAGUGGUUACUAGCUAACCCUAUGUCCGUUUGCGAGAUUCUGAAAUUAAAGCUGUUUUGCUUGAUAAGGUUGAAACGAAAGCGGCCAUGGAGACUGAGAUAAGGUCUCGAAACAAUGAACCAGUUGGAUGUUUUAGGAGAGUAGAGAGAAUGCGAGAGAAAGAAGAUAGGGAAUUUUGAUAAAAUCCCCGUUUUCUGAUAUCCAUAAAAAAAGUGCCCCUGUUUUUUCAAAUUUGUUAAAGUGUCCUACCGUUUACUUUCACAUCUUGCACCCGCAUAAUUGAGUCACGGAUCGUUUAUCUAGUCAAAAAACGGGUCAAAUUACACUAAACCCCACAGUAAACCUAAAUCGAGUGAGAGAAUAAAACUCAUCUUCUUUCAUUCUCAGCCGACAAUAAUCUUCUUCCUUCCCUUCUGUUUCUGAAAUUGAAUAAAAACGCUGAUGAUGUUGAGAUCAAGAGCUUUUGUUUGUGGACUGAGUUGGAUGAGAAGCAAAAAUUAAGGGUUUACCAGUUUAGAGAUCAGUGGGUAUUCAUCAACCGAAGUUUGAGAGCAAAGAAGAAAAAGGGUUUUUGGGUUCCUGAAUUCUCAAAGUUCGACAGAGAAGAGGGUGCUGCUAAUCGAAUUACAGAAGAAGAAUAAGUGGAUUUGAAUGAAAGUUUCAUAGAAAGGGAUAAAUUGAGGUUUUGUGGUCAAGUAAUAGAUGGGUUUGAUGAUUCGAGAGGCUUGGAAGGAAGAGAAGAACAUAGAGAAAUAAUACAGGGUUAGGGUUUGAUUUGAGCAUAGAUUCAUGUGGUUGUGAUGAUGAUUGUGCUGAUGGUGAAUGAAAUUGGAGCAAUUGAUGAUGAUUUAGGGUUCUUAGAAGAAGAAUCUAGGGCGAUUUCAGAUUCCAGUGUUGAAUUGAUGGUUUGCAAUUUUGUUCGAGGUAUUUUGUGCUACGUGAUCGAUAUUCAAGUACCGGGUUGUCUUCAAUGCACACUGUUGCAUCUCUUGGGAAUAUGAAGAUGUUUUGUUAGAGAUACAGAGAUACAGAGAAGAUGUUGAGAGAAGGGGUUUGAACCAUGGAGUUGAUGUUGUUGUUGUUCUGGUGAGUGCAGGUGGACUGAGAUGACAUUGCAGGUGGAUGCUUAGAUGUAUGCUUAGGUCACAUGAGGUGGAUAUGCUGGUGGCAGUUGGUAUGAGCUGAAUUGAUUGUACUCGAGUUGGUAAUUCAGUUGCAGUUGGUAUGAGCUGAAUAGAUGUAUGCUUAGAAAUGAAUUGGUACAGUGUGAAUACAAGACUGAGAAAGAGGGUUUGAUGCUCAAUAGAUGUAUGUUAGGAAUUUACAGGGAGGUGUUGCUUGAAUUGUAAGGAUUUGAGUUGGAUUGCUUAGCUCAAACUGGUGACAUUACAAGCUGAGUCAAAGAUGGAAGCAGAAAGAGGUCUCAACUAAAGUGGCAAUGAUAUGGUUGGUGAUACUGCCAUGGCUAGGUAGUGAUGAACUCAAGCUUUAAUUGACGAAGAUGUUGUUGUUGAAGCUUAAUGAUAAGGGGAGUACAUGAUUGUGCUGGUCUGGAGUAAGGGAAGACAAUGGAUGCGCAGGUCUGAAUUGCAGGUGAUGGUGAAAAGUUGUGGGAUUGAAGCUACAAAAGACUGAAGAGAUGGAGCUAAUUAUGGAGUUGGUAUGGUGAAGCUGAAAGAGCUGUAGAGCAUGGUGAGAGUACAUGAAUUGCAGGAGCUAGAGAAAUUGAAUGAUCUGCCAAAUGUAUAUGAACUGAGCAUGAGAAUGGUUGAAUGCAUGUUGGUGGACUGAUUUGUAUUGUAGAGCAUGGUGUUGGUGUUGCACGCAGUAAGAAGAAGUGGAGUUGAUUUGGAGCAGCAGAAGAAGGGGCCAUUAUGGCUGGGACUCGACUCGACUCGGCUUUCAAAUCAGUGAUUCAAGAGAAUCAAACUCUACUCAGGAGGAAGCGCUUUUUGGACAUUUUGACCCUGUCACCUAAGUGUUAACAGCUGCUAACUGUCGUUUAACGUUUUUUGAAUAAAACGGUCAAGGCAAGGAUACUUUAACAAAUUUUUAAAAAACGGGGGCAUAUUUUUAGUGUAAUGUUAAAAGUAGGGGUUCUUUAUUAAAAAGUUCCGGAAUAUUUUGUGGCCAUAGUAAGCCAAAAUGUGUCAAAUGGAAUUAUAAUGGAAUCCAAGUUAGGGAGAUAUCUCUGUCUAUU